rnacentral:rRNA from 1 species
UAGGGAAUCUUCGGCAAUGGACGAAAGUCUGACCGAGCAACGCCGCGUGAGUGAAGAAGGUUUUCGGAUCGUAAAACUCUGUUGUUAGAGAAGAACAAGGACGUUAGUAACUGAACGUCCCCUGACGGUAUCUAACCAGAAAGCCACGGCUAACUACGUGCCAGCAGCCGCCGUAAUACGGAGGUGGCAAGCGUUGUCCGGAUUUAUUGGGCGUAAAGCGAGCGCAGGCGGUUUCUUAAGUCUGAUGUGAAAGCCCCCGGAUCAACCGGGGAGGGUCAUUGGAAACUGGGGGACUUGAGUGCAGAAGAGGAGAGUGGAAUUCCAUGUGUAGCGGUGAAAUGCGUAGAUAUAUGGAGGAACACCAGUGGCGAAGGCGGCUCUCUGGUCUGUAACUGACGCUGAGGCUCGAAAGCGUGGGGAGCAAACAGG